AAUGAUAACAGCAUUGGUCUGAAUGCAGUAAACCACUCCACCCCACCAACCAAUGAUGACAGGAGUCAACCUGCUGACAGAAUCACCUAUGCUUCCAUUGACCACUUC